rnacentral:rRNA from 1 species
GACGAACGCUGGCGGCGUGCCUAAUACAUGCAAGUAGAACGCUGAAGAGAGGAGCUUGCUCUUCUUGGAUGAGUUGCGAACGGGUGAGUAACGCGUAGGUAACCUGCCUUGUAGCGGGGGAUAACUAUUGGAAACGAUAGCUAAUACCGCAUAACAAUGGAUGACCCAUGUCAUUUAUUUGAAAGGGGCAAAUGCUCCACUACAAGAUGGACCUGCGUUGUAUUAGCUAGUAGGUGAGGUAACGGCUCACCUAGGCGACGAUACAUAGCCGACCUGAGAGGGUGAUCGGCCACACUGGGACUGAGACACGGCCCAGACUCCUACGGGAGGCAGCAGUAGGGAAUCUUCGGCAAUGGGGGCAACCCUAACCGAGCAACGCCGCGUGAGUGAAGAAGGUUUUCGGAUCGUAAAGCUCUGUUGUAAGUCAAGAACGAGUGUGAGAGUGGAAAGUUCACACUGUGACGGUAGCUUACCAGAAAGGGACGGCUAACUACGUG